AAAAAAAGGAGGGAAGCCAUCUGGGCCCGGAGCCCUGUCCUCACCCAGUGCCCAGAUAGCCUCUCGCACCUCCUCCUCCGACACUGGUCGAACCAACAGUGCAUUCUCAGCCACCCCGAUAUGGGAUUCAGCUCUCGGGAGCAGGCCGGCAACGUCAGACCCACUAUCCUCCGUCCAACGGGAGCGAAAGAACUCGAGUAGGAUAUGGCUGAUCACCGAAUCAUCCUCCACCCAGUGGCCCCGGUCAUCUCGCAAGGAACAAAUAGUGUUCCUCUGCCUUCUAAUAACUGUCGAUCGGUGAAAGAAACUAGUGUUUCGGUCACCCUCUCUGACCCACUGAAUUCUGAAUUUUUGUCUUCAGAAGAUCUCAUGUUGACGCAGGAUCGAGUGGUGGGUGGCGAGAAGACCCCGGAGGCUCACCA
rnacentral:lncRNA from 1 species